UACAGAGGAGCCAAGCGUUGUCCGGAUUGACUGGGCGUAAAGCGCACGCAGGCGGAUGCGCGCGUGGGGUGUGAAAUCUGGCCGCUUAACGGCCAGGCGCCAUCCCAUACGGCGCGUCUGGAGCUAUGCAGAGGUCGGUGGAAUUGCCGGUGUAGUGGUGAAAUGCGUAGAGAUCGGCAGGAACACCCAGGGGGAAACCAGCCGACUGGGCAUAUGCUGACGCUGAGGUGCGAGAGCGUGGGGAGCGAACAGG
rnacentral:rRNA from 1 species